rnacentral:lncRNA from 1 species
CCCUGCCGGGGAGGCUGCGCUCCGCCGGGGCCGGCACCUCGGCAGGGAGGGGAGAGGCGCUGCCCGCCCCCCCGGGGCUUCCCCGCUCGCCGCGGCCCCGCUAAGUCUGACGGAGCGCCGCCGCCCAGCGCAGCGCAGCGGCCAGGCGCAGGAGGGAGGCGCCGCGCGGCCCGGCUCCCCGCGUGCCGCCGCUCGGGGGACAGCGGCCGCCUCCGCGCUCCCGGCCGCUCCGCUCCUCGCCGCUCCUCUGGCCGCCUCAGUGUGAUGUUGGAGGAGCGCAGGCACCGAGAUAAGGUGCUGGGAGGGGGACAAAUGACAGCCAAGGCGCAGAGCGGGGCUUCACAGCUGCUGAGA